GGGCGGGGCGGUGGCAAAGGUGCCGCCCUCUCGGGCCUCUGCGCGCGGCCGCAGCAUGCUUAUGAAUACUCAUGAAGUGGGCGGGGGGCGCCACGCACCUCUCUUCGGACGCCCUUUCCCGCUUCCUUCAGUUUGGUCUGGAGGGACUCGGAGGUGGAAGGGGUGCCUGAGGCGGCGGCGUGUCGGGUGGGGCGUCGUCGGCAAAAGGCUCCGUCCCUUGGGAGCCAUAUAGCCCACAGGCCGAAGCCGCGCAUGACGUCAGCUGCCUUUCCCUCAGUGGGAGAUGGCCGAGGCGAGCCCCGUGGGCCGAGAUGCGAGGGGAGCCCUUGGCUGACCAGUGCCGUGAGGAAGCCGCGACUUCCUUCGUGUUAUUAUCUCACUUACCCUACGUAAGAGGUGGAUGAGCUCUAAAACAGUAAUUUUUUAGAAAAAAUGGAGAAGCAAAACAGGCGCAUCUCCCCCCCACCCCUUUCCAGUAUUUUUAACUUUCGGCUUCAGUUAUUGGGAAGAAAGCAGCCUCGGGUGGCGAUCAGCAGUACCGGUCUGUUGGUUGUGACUUUGCCAUUCUUUAUUCGGAUCGUGUUGUUCAUUGGCAAGCAAGACCACUGAAAACGGCAGAAGGAUUGCGGCCCAUCUCUCCUCAAAACGCUACUUAUCCUUUUUAUACAGUAGUUCGAUAACAGGCUUCUUGAUUACAAAGGAACUUUUCCCUACGCCAUGUGAACUUCCUUUCUUCCUGUUCCUUUGAUCUUCUCCAGGGCUGAAGAGGAGAGUGAGCACUUCCAGAUGAACAGUGGGCUUUGUUUCCUUAAGGUUACAUUUAGGAAAGUUUGAAAGUUGCUUCCUGGAUUGAGGGAAACUCGUUGUGGCACAGAUUUAGAAAAGUUGGGCCCAAUUUUUAGAUAUACAUCGUAUACACCGCAACAUACUGGCAGUGUAAUGGCUUCGCUCCUACACAAUAGGGGAGCAAAGAUAUACUGCAAUAACUCCCUUUUAGCCAUAAUCAUUCUUAUUCUGGAAAUCCACUGAUUUCAUUCUACUGGGGGUGGGGGGGUGGGACGGACCACCCCAAGACCCUGUCUAGGAAGCUGACAUGAAUUAUUUACCGGUACUUUUCCUGUGGAUCCCGUGAUAAUAGUUGUAACAUGUUGAGUGGGCAAUUUAAUGGUCACAUAACACUUAUGGCAGGCCUUUGUACAAACUUAUUGGAACUGUGGGAAUUCUGAUCACAAAAAGGGCCUUCCUUCCCUUUUGGUGUUGUGUGUUUUAGAUUGUAAACCUGUGGGCAGGGACUGUCUUGUUUUAACUGAAUGUAUGUAAGCGCUCUAGGAAAGCCUUUUUGGCUGAAGCGUAGGGCACAAAUGCUUAAAACAAAUCAAAAGGGGCCUCUGCUGUGCAAAUUUUUCCUCUAUAGUCACUUUCUCAGUCAAGCUGUUAAAAUAACAAGAAAGACGUGUAAGUUAACUGUCUUGCUGGUCUGAUACAAUGUAACUCAAACAAAGAGCACUUUGUCAGGUCAAUACUAAUAUUUUCUAGCUGUUACAAUUCUGCGCACUGUAACAGAAAUACGCAUAGGGAACAUGCUUGGCUUUUCCUUAGAAGUCAAUGGAUGACUAUAAUAAUGAUCUUAAUUGAACUGGAACUGUAAUAAAAGGGUUUUUACAAGUUUGUAAAUAAAAAUGGAGACAUGUUCCCAUCCUGUAUGACAUUAAAAAAUUCUCUUUCCUUUGGCUUAAUUCUUUUGUGGGUGAAAUGUUUUGGUUUGAACUGUUUAAUUUGUUUUCUAUAAUUUUCCCCAUUUCAUUCAUUAAUUUAUGCACCACUUGAUUGAAGGGG